rnacentral:lncRNA from 1 species
UUGCGAAUUAGGCAAAUAACCCUAUUCGGAAAUGCGCUUAUCAUUUAAAUAUGCACGUAAGAUAUUGUAAAGCAUGUUUUAGGCAAUAAAAUAUUUAAAUCAAAUUUAGAUAUGAUAAUUACCUAAUUCCUCAAAUAAUAUUGCCAAAUUUGAAUUGAAUGGAAUCGCUCAACGAGUAACCAGCGGUGUGUGGUGGUGCUCGCAUGGCUUCUCAGCACGGUUUAGGGCUUGAAGGUGACAGCUUUUGAUGGACCGCUUGGACUACCGGAUUUGUCCAGAUCUUCUGCUUCAGUUUCACUUGGGCCAAAGAAUCAAAUUUGCUCCCUUUGGUCUCCACGUCGAUUCCCAGACUUUGACUUGCUAAAGCCCAUGAUCACAUUAUUCAUUUGCGUUCUCAAUUGAAGGAGCAGCAGCAGCACGUCAGGAAUGAUAGUGGCAUUUUAGGAUGCAACGGCUAGAUGUUGCUGGAAAACCUGCAAACAGAGACUAUGAGCGCUAGUUCGCUGGUGCCAGUGUUUGGACCCGACGCGGGCUGGUCACGGUGAACACCGGGAGAUCUUGAUUGUGAUGGUUCGCUGGACGAGCACCAAAAAACCUGCAAAAACAGAGAAUACCGAAGGAAGAACAGAGCAGGAGUCGUCGCGCGGUUGGUCCAAGUCACGGCAGGCCGUGAGGGGGCCUCGUGGGAGACUAAAACAACAGCAGAUGAGCGAGCAGGGGCGCGGGACUCGGGCGUCAGCAACAGGUGGCGAGGGGUCGAGUGGAUCGCAGCGGAGCGCUGUGCAGGGGGUCAGCCACAGCAGCGGAACGGAACAGGCAGUGGCGAAGGCGGUCUGUGGCGCUUGCGGGAUCUGCACCUGUUGUCGUCUGGGG